CACGCAGGCGGUCUUGCCAGUCAGAUGUGAAAGCCCGGGGCUCAACUCCGGAAGAGCAUUUGAAACUACAGGACUUGAGUACGGUAGAGGAGAGGGGAAUUCCUGGUGUAGAGGUGAAAUUCGUAGAUAUCAGGAGGAACACCGGUGGCGAAGGCGCCUCUCUGGGCCGAUACUGACGCUGAGGUGCGAAGGCGUGGGUAGCGAACAGGAUUAGAUACCCUGGUAGUCC
rnacentral:rRNA from 1 species